rnacentral:misc_RNA from 1 species
AUAUCUAUUGAAGUAUUGGAUUAGCGUGUCAUAUGAUAAACUUAUAGAUUGAUAUUGAACCUGAGGGAGUGUCUUAAUUUUAUAAUUAAUUUCUUGGAAAUAAAAAUGUUAAAAUUAUUCGUGUGUUUCAUAGCUAUAUUUAUUGCAGUUGCAGCAAACGGAGAUUUUGUAGUUCUACACAGCCCAAAUAGUGUCUUAUUUCAUGGGAAUGAAGAGGUAGAGCAAAGCUUACUUAAGGAAGUGUUAGCUGCUGCAUUGGGUUUCACCGUUAAACUGAGGGGAGUAUGGAGCGGUAUCUCUAUCACUGAUCCAUUUAGUCUACCAGAAGCCGUAGUGGCAGUAGUGAUAGAAGGUAUAGAUUCUUUAGACAUUCCAAAAGGCAAGAGAUUUCCUUUGAAUGUUAAUGAAGUCGAAGAAACCACAUGGCAAGCUCUUAGAGGACGCCUCGAAGAAAGAGAUAACGAUAACACUUUAGUAAGAAUUUCUUUGGGAGAUGGUUUAGAUGCUCUAGGACAGUCAGCACUUGGGGAAUUAAAACCAACUCCUAUUGAUGAAUCGUCUUUGAGAGCCUUAAGUUUAAGAAAGGAAGAAGACAAGAAGUUUCUUGAAGAAGUACAACUGCUCCAUGCAAUUGCUAAAAAAGCACCCUCUGCAAUUAAACCAGAUUCGAAAUCUGAUAUUUAUUGGCUCGUUAUAUCUGGUUUACGCCCAAUUUUUGAUGUUUAUGGCAGCAACUCAACUGCUUCUAAGGAAGCACUAUCCUUACUGAAUAAUGCUUUAAAUGUUAUUCAUGAUGCAUUUAUUCAAGCUUAUGAUGGCCAGGUAUUAAUUGUGGCCUUUACAAAUGAUGCAAGCAAGGUGCACCAUAUUCGGUCUGUAACUCAAGAGAGGCAGAAACGGGAGACUUUAGAUACUGAUGGAAAAGAAGUGGCUAAUAAAACUAACAAUAUAGAAUCUUCUACGGAUGUUAAACAUAAUAACAACAAUACGAACUCUUUUAAUGCUAAUAUGUUGAGUAAGGAAAUCAAAAACUUGGCAAAAGAAUAUUCCACGGAUUAUCCUGCCAUCUUUAACAUUAUUUUAUGGUUUGGAGUUGUUUUUGUUUUCUCGCUGCUUGCUAUUUGCAUUGCCAUUGCUCAGAUGGAUCCUGGACGUGAUUCCAUAAUAUAUAGGAUGACUUCCAAUCGUAUGAAGAAAGACAAUUAAAUGUCAUUUUGAACAUCCAGCAUUGUUAAUUGUGAUUCACCAAUUAUAUUACUUGGUGUAAUAUAUUCUCAAAAGGGCUCGUAAUUCGUACAAUGGAUAAGCACCCUUUGAUCAAAAUGGGAUCAUAUAGAAAUCUCAGAUUAUGGGUGAGAAGAAAUUAACAUGAGAAAUGGAAUCUUAACCCUGACAAUUGAUGUCAUAGCUGUUCUGAACAACGUGAUACCGCU